AAGAAACCAACAGGGAUUGCCCCAGUAACGGCGAGUGAAGCGGCAAGAGCUCAAAUUUGAAAUCUGGCCUCCCCCGGGGGCCCGAGUUGUAAUUUGCAGAGGAUGCUUCGGGUGCGGCCGCCGUCUAAGUUCCUUGGAACAGGACGUCAGAGAGGGUGAGAAUCCCGUCUUGGGCGGGCGGUCCGCGCCCGUGUGAAGCUCCUUCGACGAGUCGAGUUGUUUGGGAAUGCAGCUCUAAGCGGGUGGUAAAUUUCAUCUAAAGCUAAAUAUUGGCCGGAGACCGAUAGCGCACAAGUAGAGUGAUCGAAAGGUUAAAAGCACCUUGAAAAGGGAGUUAAACAGCACGUGAAAUUGUUGAAAGGGAAGCGCUUGCGGCCAGACUCGGGGGCGGGGUUCAGCGGGUGCUCGUCGCCCGUGUAUUCCUCGUCUCCCGGGCCAGCAUCAGUUUCGACGGCCGGUCAAAGGCCCCCGGAAUGUGUCGUCUCUCGGGACGUCUUAUAGCCGGGGGUGCAAUGCGGCCCGUCGGGACUGAGGAACGCGCUCCGGCUCGGAUGC
rnacentral:rRNA from 1 species